rnacentral:rRNA from 1 species
GACGAACGCUGGCGGCGUGCUUAACACAUGCAAGUCGAACGGAAAGGCCCUGCUUUUGUGGGGUGCUCGAGUGGCGAACGGGUGAGUAACACGUGAGUAACCUGCCCUUGACUUUGGGAUAAAUUCAGGAAACUGGGGCUAAUACCGGAUAGGAGCUCCUGCUGCAUGGUGGGGGUUGGAAAGUUUCGGCGGUUGGGGAUGGACUAGCGGCUUAUCAGCUUGUUGGUGGGGUAGUGGCUUACCAAGGCUUUGACGGGUAGCCGGCCUGGGAGGGUGACCGGCCACAUUGGGACUGAGAUACGGCCCAGACGCCUACGGGAGGCAGCAGUGGGGAAUAUUGCACAAUGGGCGGAAGCCUGAUGCAGCAACGCCGCGUGCGGGAUGACGGCCUUCGGGUUGUAAACCGCUUUCGCCUGUGACGAAGCGUGAGUGACGGUAAUGGGUAAAGAAGCACCGGCUAACUACGUG